GGAUCGUUUUGGAGAUUCUGGGUUUUUUGUUUCUCCAUAUGAAGCUGAGAAUCUUUUUUUCAAGGUUAGAAAGUCCCGCUGUACCUGGAGACUGGGUUGCUAGUCCAGAUGCUUUCUGGGAAGUCCUGGGGUCUCUACUGUGCUCUCCAAGCUUCGGAUGCCCAGCGCCUGGUGUGUCUAGCUUGUAUGGCGUUUCUGUCUGGUUUUGGUAAUGAUACUUUGAACAAUUUGCUUUUACUUGGAAAACCUCAAAAAAUCAUCAUCAAAUAAUGCUUCUUCAAACAAUUUUAAACUGCUCACAAAAUGAAACUUUCCUUUGAUGCUUCAUCUUGUAUGUGUCUAGUCUUCCAUUCACAUCAUUAAUGGUGAAACUUAUGGCAAUGACAUAAUGAAAAACGAUCUAUUAUCAGCAAAUGAUCUUAGUAGAUGUUAUCCUUGAUAAUUAAACAACUGUUUUCAUUGGUCAGAUUCCUUUUUAUGAGUUCCUAUAAUAAAGAAAAGCUAACAAAAAUAUUAAUUGAAACUUGAAAGGAGCUGAAGAGAUGGCUUAGCAGUUAAGAAAACAUUGGCUGCUCUUCCAGAGGACCUAGGUUUGG